rnacentral:rRNA from 1 species
GACGAACGCGGCGGCGUGCUUAACACAUGCAAGUCGAACGAAGAGCGAUGGAAGCUUGCUUCUAUCAAUCUUAGUGGCGAACGGGUGAGUAACGCGUAAUCAACCUGCCCUUCAGAGGGGGACAACAGUUGGAAACGACUGCUAAUACCGCAUACGAUCUAAUCUCGGCAUCGAGGAAGGAUGAAAGGUGGCCUCUAUGUAUAAGCUAUCACUGAAGGAGGGGAUUGCGUCUGAUUAGCUAGUUGGAGGGGUAACGGCCCACCAAGGCGAUGAUCAGUAGCCGGUCUGAGAGGAUGAACGGCCACAUUGGGACUGAGACACGGCCCAGACUCCUACGGGAGGCAGCAGUGGGGAAUCUUCCGCAAUGGACGAAAGUCUGACGGAGCAACGCCGCGUGAGUGAUGACGGCCUUCGGGUUGUAAAGCUCUGUUAAUCGGGACGAAAGGCCUUCUUGCGAACAG